rnacentral:rRNA from 1 species
AUUGAACGCUGGCGGCAUGCCUUACACAUGCAAGUCGAACGGCAGCACGGACUUCGGUCUGGUGGCGAGUGGCGAACGGGUGAGUAAAGUAUCGGAACGUACCUUUCAGUGGGGGAUAACGUAGCGAAAGUUACGCUAAUACCGCAUAUUCUGUGAGCAGGAAAGCAGGGGAUCGCAAGACCUUGCGCUGAUUGAGCGGCCGAUAUCAGAUUAGCUAGUUGGUGAGGUAAAGGCUCACCAAGGCGACGAGCUGUAGCGGGUCUGAGAGGAUGAUCCGCCACACUGGAACUGAGACACGGUCCAGACUCCUACGGGAGGCAGCAGUGGGGAAUUUUGGACAAUGGGGGCAACCCUGAUCCAGCCAUGCCGCGUGAGUGAAGAAGGCCUUCGGGUUGUAAAGCUCUUUCGGCCGGGAAGAAAUCGUAUCAGCUACUACCUGGUGCGGAUGACGGUACCGGCAUAAGAAGCACCGGCUAACUACGUGCCAGCCGCCGCCGUAAUAC